AUUGAACGCUGGCGGCAGGCCUAACACAUGCAAGUCGAGCGGGGUUUUCGGACCUAGCGGCGGACGGGUGAGUAAUGCGUAGGAAGCUGCCCGAUAGAGGGGGAUACCAGUUGGAAACGACUGUUAAUACCGCAUAAUGUCUACGGACCAAAGUGUGGGACCUUCGGGCCACAUGCUAUCGGAUGCGCCUACGUGGGAUUAGCUAGUUGGUGAGGUAAUGGCUCACCAAGGCGACGAUCUCUAGCUGGUUUGAGAGGAUGAUCAGCCACACUGGAGCUGAGACACGGUCCAGACUCCUACGGGAGGCAGCAGUGGGGAAUAUUGGACAAUGGGCGCAAGCCUGAUCCAGCCAUGUCGCGUGUGUGAAGAAGGCCUUCGGGUUGUAAAGCACUUUCAGCGAGGAGGAAGGGGUUGUAGUUAAUAGCUGCAACCUUUGACGUUACUCGCAGAAGAAGCACCGGCUAACUCUGUGCCAGCAGCCGCAGUAACAC
rnacentral:rRNA from 1 species